rnacentral:rRNA from 1 species
UGCUGGGUGGAUCAGUGGCGAACGGGUGAGUAACACGUGAGCAACCUGCCCCUGACUCUGGGAUAAGCGCUGGAAACGGCGUCUAAUACUGGAUAUGUACCACGAUCGCAUGGUCUGUGGUUGGAAAGAUUUUUCGGUUGGGGAUGGGCUCGCGGCCUAUCAGCUUGUUGGUGAGGUAAUGGCUCACCAAGGCGUCGACGGGUAGCCGGCCUGAGAGGGUGACCGGCCACACUGGGACUGAGACACGGCCCAGACUCCUACGGGAGGCAGCAGUGGGGAAUAUUGCACAAUGGGCGCAAGCCUGAUGCAGCAACGCCGCGUGAGGGAUGACGGCCUUCGGGUUGUAAACCUCUUUUAGCAGGGAAGAAGCGAAAGUGACGGUACCUGCAGAAAAAGCGCCGGCUAACUACGUGCCAGCAGCCGCGGUAAUACGUAGGGCGCAAGCGUUAUCCGGAAUUAUUGGGCGUAAAGAGCUCGUAGGCGGUUUGUCGCGUCUGCUGUGAAAUCCGGAGGCUCAACCUCCGGCCUGCAGUGGGUACGGGCAGACUAGAGUGCGGUAGGGGAGAUUGGAAUUCCUGGUGUAGCGGUGGAAUGCGCAGAUAUCAGGAGGAACACCGAUGGCGAAGGCAGAUCUCUGGGCCGUAACUGACGCUGAGGAGCGAAAGGGUGGGGAGCAAACAGGCUUAGAUACCCUGGUAGUCCACCCCGUAAACGUUGGGAACUAGUUGUGGGGUCCAUUCCACGGAUUCCGUGACGCAGCUAACGCAUUAAGUUCCCCGCCUGGGGAGUACGGCCGCUACGGGCAGACUAGAGUGCGGUAGGGGAGAUUGGAAUUCCUGGUGUAGCGGUGGAAUGCGCAGAUAUCAGGAGGAACACCGAUGGCGAAGGCAGAUCUCUGGGCCGUAACUGACGCUGAGGAGCGAAAGGGUGGGGAGCAAACAGGCUUAGAUACCCUGGUAGUCCACCCCGUAAACGUUGGGAACUAGUUGUGGGGUCCAUUCCACGGAUUCCGUGACGCAGCUAACGCAUUAAGUUCCCCGCCUGGGGAGUACGGCCGCAAGGCUAAAACUCAAAGGAAUUGACGGGGACCCGCACAAGCGGCGGAGCAUGCGGAUUAAUUCGAUGCAACGCGAAGAACCUUACCAAGGCUUGACAUAUACGAGAACGGGCCAGAAAUGGUCAACUCUUUGGACACUCGUAAACAGGUGGUGCAUGGUUGUCGUCAGCUCGUGUCGUGAGAUGUUGGGUUAAGUCCCGCAACGAGCGCAACCCUCGUUCUAUGUUGCCAGCACGUAAUGGUGGGAACUCAUGGGAUACUGCCGGGGUCAACUCGGAGGAAGGUGGGGAUGACGUCAAAUCAUCAUGCCCCUUAUGUCUUGGGCUUCACGCAUGCUACAAUGGCCGGUACAAAGGGCUGCAAUACCGCGAGGUGGAGCGAAUCCCAAAAAGCCGGUCCCAGUUCGGAUUGAGGUCUGCAACUCGACCUCAUGAAGUCGGAGUCGCUAGUAAUCGCAGAUCAGCAACGCUGCGGUGAAUACGUUCCCGGGUCUUGUACACACCGCCCGUCAAGUCAUGAAAGUCGGUAACACCUGAAGCCGGC